rnacentral:misc_RNA from 1 species
GCAAACUUGGUCAUUUAGAGGAAGUAAAAGUCGUAACAAGGUUUCCGUAGGUGAACCUGCGGAAGGAUCAUUACGAGAUCUCGCUCGCAAGAGCGCCUCUCCCAACCCUAUGUUUACGUUUCCAUUGUUGCUUUGGCUGGCCACAAGGUUACCUUGCACUGGCUUUAUGCGAGUGAGAGUCCGCCGGAGAAAAUUUCUACUCUGAUUUAUUAUUGUCUGAGUCAAAAAUAUAAAUUAUUAAAACUUUCAACAACGGAUCUCUUGGUUCUGGCAUCGAUGAAGAACGCAGC